AUUUGUCCUUUAAUUGAGGUCUGGAAUGAAUGGUUGGAUGAAAAGUAGACUUUCUUUAUUUUAUAAAUAUAAAAUUUAAUUUCUGAAUCAAAAAGUUUAGAUUUUAAUAUAGGACGAGAAGACCCUAUAGAGCUUUAUUCUCCCUAGAAUAAUUAUUUACUUGUAAAUAAUUAUUUAUCAUUUUAGGGAGAAUUUUGUUGGGGUGACAAAAAAAAUUUAAUAACUUUUUUUAUAUUUAUUAUUUAUAUAUAAUUUUUUGAUCCUUUAGUAAGGAUAAUAAGAUUAAGUUACCUUAGGGAUAACAGCGUUAUUAUUUUAGAGAGUUCAUAUUGAUAAAAUAGUUUGCGACCUCGAUGUUGGAUUAAAAUUAGUUUCAGGGGCAGAAUAUUGRUUUACKGGGUCUGUUCGACCCUUAAAUUUU
rnacentral:rRNA from 1 species